rnacentral:rRNA from 1 species
GUGCCAGCCGCGGCGGUAAUACGGAGGAUCCGAGCGUUAUCCGGAAUUAUUGGGUUUAAAGGGUGCGUAGGCGGACUGCUAAGUCAGUGGUGAAAGACGGUGGCUCAACCACCGCAGUGCCGUUGAUACUGGCGGUCUUGAAUGUAGAUGAGGCAGGCGGAAUGUGGCAAGUAGCGGUGAAAUGCAUAGAUAUGCCACAGAACACCGAUUGCGAAGGCAGCCUGCCAAGGUACGAUUGACGCUGAGGCACGAAAGCGUGGGAUCGAACAGGAUUAGAUACCCUGGUAGUCCACGCCCUAAACGAUGAACACUCGAUGCCGGCGAUAUACAGCCGGUGUCCAAGCGAAAGCGUUAAGUG